UCCCAGCUGGCUUAGUCGGCAAAGAGACCGCCUGCAAUGCAGGAGACCCAGGUUCAAGCCCUGUGUUGGGAA
rnacentral:tRNA from 1 species